AUAUCAAGGGAGCUAUAAAGGGAUGCCCCUAUAUUGCCUCUCAUUCUGUAGUUGGUAUUCAGUGAGGUUGCACUUGUUCCUGUAAAAAGGAAUAGUUUCGUUCAGGAUUUGAAAUUUUCCUAAGUUCUCUGUUUGGUGACAUGUAUAAACAGAGGUAGACUAUAAGGUUCCACCAUUCUUGAUUGAAAAUAGGGAACGUAACAUCAUCUAAUUUCAACCAAAUUUAUAUAUUUUUUUUUUUGAAGUCUAUCUAGAUAUUAUAUUUAUCGAAUUGAAUAUGUGAUUGGAUGUAAUCAUUGGAUAUUCUAAACCUUUCUAAUCAAUGGUAAUCACUCCUACUAUAAGAACUGAUUCCAAACCCCUGAUGAAGUCCUAACGGACGAAACGCGUUGGGUUUUGCAACGUCUGGUUAACAAAGUCCUUAUCACAAACAUCUGGUUGGAGAUACAUCCAUUUCGAGUUCUGACUGUGAUCACCUGGCUGUAAAAUCCUCACAUCCAACUGUAAUUUAUGUAUAAGAUUGUAAUAUUGUUUUAUAUGAAUUUUUAGAAGGUUGUGUCAAUAAGAAACGCUUAGGAUAAAUAUCGUUUGUUUCUGUACAAUAAAAACUUUUAAUUAUUGUCAUACA